rnacentral:misc_RNA from 1 species
GCAAACUUUCAGAAUAAAGAACGACAAUAUACCACAUGAAAAAAUGUCAUCACGUAAAAACUUCUUCCAAAAACGACCAGAGAAUCAAAAGCCCUAUUCUUCCAGAGCUUACUCAAAAAUAUAUAACAGUAAGUACACCUAGCAAAAACUAUAACUCCAGCAAUUCAAAUUGUCCACUUGUCAAAAUAUUCAAAGCCAUGUUUCAGUUUGAUAUGGAAAUGGAUUGCAAUUUACGGAUUAUAAUUUUAUUAUCAUGUUUGAUGCGCAAGAAAUUUAAUUUUUUUUU